UGUGUUGGUUAGACGAUCGCUGUGUUUAACAGAGGAAAGUCCGGGCUCCACAGGGUAAGAUGCCAGGUAACGCCUGGGCGACGAAAGUCGACGGAAAGUGCCACAGAGAAUAGACCGCCUUCGGGUAAGGGUGAAACGGUGCGGUAAGAGCGCACCGCAUAAUAGGUAACUAUUAUGGCAAGGUAACCCCCAUCUGGAGCAAGACCAAGUAGAAUCUUGAGGUAACUCACAUACGACUCGUAUGCGAUUCGGGUAGGUUGCUUGAGGUAUGCAGUGAUGCAUAUCCCAGAUAGAUGAUCGUCCGCGACAGAACCCGGCUUAUCGACCAACGCAUCUC
rnacentral:RNase_P_RNA from 1 species